rnacentral:rRNA from 1 species
UACGUAGGUGGCGAGCGUUGUCCGGAUUUAUUGGGCGUAAAGCGUGCGCAGGCGGUUCGUUGUGUCGGUGGUGAAAUCCCCGGGCUUAACCUGGGAAUGGCCAUGGAAACUGGCGAACUGGAGUGCGGCAGAGGGGGGUGGAAUUCCGCGUGUAGCAGUGAAAUGCGUAGAGAUGCGGAGGAACACCGAUGGCGAAGGCAGCCCCCUGGGCUAGCACUGACGCUCAGGCACGAAAGCGUGGGGAGCAAACGGG